AUUUGAAGUAUGAAAUAUGGGUGCAUAAACAAUAGAAGAAAAGUAGUAAAGUGAGAGUAAUAUACGGUAAUGCCUUUGAGAGGUCCACUUGUGUUGUUGAACAAGUCCCUGAUACUUGUUUGCUGUAUAAGCUUCGGUUCAAUCCAAUAAGCAGUACAGACUACCUUUAGUUUACCACAAGAUCUUUAUAAAACAAAAAACCUGAGGCCUACUUUAUACAUUUCAGUACUAGGCAGGCAAGGGCAACUACACAAGCACCAUGACUUCCAAUUUAAUUAUGAGAAUAAAAAAUGGCCGGGG
rnacentral:misc_RNA from 1 species